AGUGAACGCUGGCGGUAGGCCUAACACAUGCAAGUCGAACGGCAGCACAGUAAGAGCUUGCUCUUACGGGUGGCGAGUGGCGGACGGGUGAGGAAUACAUCGGAAUCUACUUUUUCGUGGGGGAUAACGUAGGGAAAAUUACGCUAAUACCGCAUACGACCUACGGGUGAAAGCAGGGGAUCUUCGGACCUUGCGCGAUUGAAUGAGCCGAUGUCGGAUUAGCUAGUUGGCGGGGUAAAGGCCCACCAAGGCGACGAUCCGUAGCUGGUCUGAGAGGAUGAUCAGCCACACUGGAACUGAGACACGGUCCAGACUCCUACGGGAGGCAGCGGUGGGGAAUAUUGGACAAGGGGCGCAAGCCUGAUCCAGCCAUACCGCGUGGGUGAAGAAGGCCUUCGGGUUGUAAAGCCCUUUUGUUGGGAAAGAAAAGCAGCAGGUUAAUACCCCGCUGUUCUGACGGUACCCAAAGAAUAAGCACCGGCUAACUUCGUG
rnacentral:rRNA from 1 species